GAGAAAGCUUGCUUUCUUGCUGACGAGCGGCGGACGGGUGAGUAAUGUAUGGGGAUCUGCCCGAUAGAGGGGGAUAACUACUGGAAACGGUGGCUAAUACCGCAUAAUGUCUACGGACCAAAGCAGGGGCUCUUCGGACCUUGCACUAUCGGAUGAACCCAUAUGGGAUUAGCUAGUAGGUGGGGUAAAGGCUCACCUAGGCGACGAUCUCUAGCUGGUCUGAGAGGAUGAUCAGCCACACUGGGACUGAGACACGGCCCAGACUCCUACGGGAGGCAGCAGUGGGGAAUAUUGCACAAUGGGCGCAAGCCUGAUGCAGCCAUGCCGCGUGUAUGAAGAAGGCCUUAGGGUUGUAAAGUACUUUCAGCGGGGAGGAAGGUGAUAAGGUUAAUACCCUUAUCAAUUGACGUACCCGCAGAAGAGCUCCGCA
rnacentral:rRNA from 1 species